rnacentral:rRNA from 1 species
CUACGGAGGGGGUUAGCGUUGUUCGGAAUUACUGGGCGUAAAGCGCACGUAGGCGGACUGGAAAGUUGGGGGUGAAAUCCCGGGGCUCAACCCCGGAACUGCCUCCAAAACUUCCAAUCUAGAGAUCGAGAGAGGUGAGUGGAAUUCCAAGUGUAGAGGUGAAAUUCGUAGAUAUUUGGAGGAACACCAGUGGCGAAGGCGGCUCACUGGCUCGAUACUGACGCUGAGGUGAGAAAGCGGGGGGAGCAAACAGGAUUAGAAACCCCAGUAGUCC